rfam:Termitomyces sp. J132 unplaced genomic scaffold scaffold256, whole genome shotgun sequence.
GCCAAUGUGGCUCAAUGGUAGAGCAUCGCUUUCCUACCAUAUGGGAGGCAUACUUUGAGGCGAAGGUUGCGGGUUCGAUCCCCGUCAUUGGUU